CUUCCUCCUUCGUAAGGCAACCCGUUCCUGACUGGUUGCUGUUUUUUCAGAAGUUUUAAAAACAAGGAACAAAUCACAUUGCAUUACAGUCGUGUUCUUCCCUGUGGCCUAUUGGCUCGUGCAGGAGAUGGGUCCAGCUGUACCAGCACUAACGGAGCAGCCGUGCUCGGGGAGACCUGCCCCUCCCUGCUGCCUUUGUCUUGGUGUGCUACCAGCUGUCUUUAACAUAGCUGAGCUCUGUUGCUGAUUAUUACUCACUGCAAAAGCCCCUUGAAUUAUUUUUCCUUUGUGCCUUCACCAUGCCAUAUUCUCUCAGUGCCGUUUACAAAGUUGCAGAAGAAAGGAUUUGAAGCUAGAAACUCCCAGCUAUCUUGAGAGUUUGGUUCUCUAUUUUGUUGCCCCAUUAAACAAACAAAAACCAACCCCAAACCCAGACAGCAGAAAGAAAGAAAAGCAGCAUUUAAAACUGCUGACUCAGUGUAUUUGAUCAAAACGUCAAUGAAUUUGAGAAGCACUACAACAGUUUGCAUGAGGGCCAUAGAGGGAGAGUCUGAAGGUGAAUUCUGCACAAGCGUUUUGUUCCAGCUGGCGGUAGAAGCACACUGGUAAAGCCUCUUGCUGCUCCUCUGCUUGGUUUUCAAGCAGUAGUCAGUAUUCACAAGGUCGUGCUCAAGCACUGGCACAGCUGCCCAGUGUGUGCGGGGCUCACCAUCCCUGGGGGUGUUCCAGAGCCGUGGGGAUGUGGCACUGAGGGACGUGGGCAUGGUGAGAUGGGUGGGCUGGGGUUGGGCAUGGAGAUCCUGGAGGUCUUUUCCAGCCUAAACUGGGAUGCUUCUGACCUGCUCUGACCACAGCCGUGCUGCCGGCCCGGUCCUGCUGAGCUGAGCGGCACCGCACCGCACUCUACAGAACACACAUUCUGCAUUUCAUAUCAGCUUUGAAUGAUUAGGUAAUUUGUACCAAAUCUGAGCUUGAUGUUAAUUUACUUAGCUCUUUCGUUGCUAGAUUGAGAACUAUCUAUCAAAUUUACAUGUAAUGAAUUUUUGAUAAACAGGUUAGGCCUAAUUAUGUGCAGAACAGGGGGAUGUUGGGAGGGCAUGGUGGAAUAGCAUCACCAGCUCUCCAGCGAUGCCAGGGCUGCUCUCCUCAAUGUGCCCGGGGCUCUGCAGAGGGCUGGUAACACCGAUCCUUUCUGUGAUCCAUUGCAAUUCCCUCCGGCUGAUGGCAGGAGGAACAGCGCUUACUCUGGGUUAGGAUUGUGUGAGCUGAGAAGUGCCAGCCCAGGCUGCCAAGCGAGAGUUCACAUUGGAUGUCUUCAUUUGUCAUUUUCCCAGCUCAGAUAUUUUGGCUGGGGCUUGGAAAGGUGCCGAGCACCUCCUUGGUGGAAAGAGAAGGAAAGAGAUUUGAAUCCUUAACAAUGAAAAAAGAAAAAGAGUAAAACUCUCUUUAGAAAUCAGUAAUUGUUGUUCUUCUCCAGGCCUGCAUGUGUUGAAUAGUAGAUAUUGUGAGCUGGAUAAGCAGACUUUACACGUGGCAGUUCACAUGUAAAUACCAAGCGUUAGAGCAUCCUCAAAAGGAAGCCAUAGAAAAGUGGUUCUCCAUAGCACGAAACGAGGCAGUGUGAGAACCAUUAAUAGGGCUCUUUAAAUUACAAAGUCUCUUCUUUUAACCCAUAAAUAUUUACACUCCACAUUUCUCGAAACAUCUGUUCUAAAUAUGUAGACAAGUAGCCCCAUAACCGUACGUAUGACACUAAUAGUUAAACUGAUAAAGAGUAAUAAUUAAUGUGAAACUUGCAAGAAAUUAACUAGCUCAUUUGCAUUUUCAGAUUGUGCCAUUUCAGAAAGUGAUAAAGUGUGGCUCCUGUCUGUGCCCCUCCGACCCCCGAGAAGAAACUGAUGUGACACGAAUUAACUGGCGCCGUGACGGAAAGCCGAUCUCCCCAUCAGAGCGACCGGCGUGCGCUGCGAAAACCCUGGCAGCUGGAUUGCUCUGAUCAAUAACAUUAUAGCAUGGAAGCAGCUCGCAGUUCAUCUGCAGGUUCAAAUCCAGCUCUGAGAGAGUUACGCCUUCGUGUCAAUCCAGGGAAAACAGAGGAGAGCAGGAGCCCUUCCACAAGGACAAAUGAAAUCUGGACUCUGUGUGGAUGGAAAAUAGAAAUGCUAAGAGGUAAGGUCAGAACAAACCUUUCUCCCUGACUUCAGCUCUUCCACCUGGGCCAUAAGCAGUAGUCCUCUCUCCAUGACAUCAUUGAUGCUGCUUGGGACCCUCUGCUUUGCAGACCCUGUGCCGCCCAUGAAGGAGGUGGUUAAAGGGUCAUUGAUCUCUUCAACAAGCACCCUAAGAGAGAGCAAAAAAAGCUGAGCACAUCCCACCGGUGCCUGGUGCUGGGCCCUGCUGGGGUCUGUAGGCACAUGGGUUGCUGUGGCUGUGAGCUCCACGUGGAACUCAACCCACGUUGGUGGAUGGAGGAGGUGGCAUGUCAGGUUACAUUAGAUUAGAUGUUUCAUUGGCAGAGGAUUGAGGCCCUGGCCCUGCUGCCCAGAGCACUGGGGGCCCCAUCCCUGGAGGUGUCCAAGUCCAUGGAUGGGGCCCUGGGCAGCCUGAGCUGGUGGGGGCAGCCAGCCCACAGCAGAGGUGGGGCUGGGUGGGCUUUGGGGUCCCUUCCAACCCAACCAUUCCAUGAUUCUAUGGUCUUUAAUGUUCCUUCCAACCCAACCGUUCCAUGAUUCUAUUAUCUUGUAAUGACAAGUGCUGAUGGAUGGAGCAGGCAGCACGUGAUGCUGAGUGCCAAUGGAUGGAGGAGGUAGCAAUAAUGUUGGGUGCUAUUGCAGCAAGGCGCUGUGCCAGGUGUUCUGGGUCUGUCCUCAGAGCUAAAUGUGUAUUUUCUCCUUUCCCCAAGGAACGCCACCACCCAGCAUCCUCAGUAAUGUUCCACCCCAGUUGUGUUUCAUGACACGGGCUGUCUUGUCUCCGAUGCCUGCUCCUUUGGUUCUGCCACACCCCCACCUUCCCCACACUGCCGCGCAUGUCCCAGGCGACGUGCUCUGUUUGAAAGACCUUAUUACAGGUGAUAUUGCCAACAGCCCGUGUUCAGAACGCUUCCUACUAGAGCCACUGCCAGUAACGGUGUUCCUGGGUGCAUGGCUGGCAGACAGCGAGGGUGCUGCUGUGGGCAAAGAGGCCAAAGAAAAGCACAGGGCAAGGGCAAAGCUUUGGAUGUCCCUACUGCUGUCUGCACUCCAUCCCCCCCAGCUUCUUGCUGGAGGCCCCGGACCCGUGCUUCCGUGACAAACACUUUUAUAAUGCUUCAUUAUAGCAGGCGGCCGGGAGACAAGUGAGAUGCUUCUGUCCUUUGAUUAGGUUGGAAGUUUGCAGGGUCAGCUUUCCUUGGUCGUCGUGGUGAGUACGCAGCGACGUGCCAUAGAGAAAUUACAGCUGAUUCCAAAAUCACUUGGAAAAGUGUUUUAUGGUCCAAGAUUUGUGGGAACAGAGGGGAGGAAGACAUUCCAGGAUAUUUUCGUAAACCGGUUCACCAAGGACUGAAACCCAUGCCAGUGAUUUACUGCACCUCCCCUGCAUCCUGGCACACCGCCCAAGUAUUAAU